rnacentral:rRNA from 1 species
CGGGUGACAGGGAGACAGGUGGUGCAUGGUUGUCGUCAGCUCGUGUCGUGAGAUGUUGGGUUAAGUCCCGCAACGAGCGCACCCUACGUUAGUUGCUAGCAAGUAGCGUUGGGCACUCUAGCCAGACUGCCGGUGAUAAAUCGGAGGAAGGUGGGGACGACGUCAAAUCAUCAUGCCCUUUAUGUCCUGGGCUACACACGUACUACAAUGGCCGUUACAACGGGAAGCGAAGGAGCAAUCCGGAGCAAAUCCCUUAAAGGCGGUCCCAGUUCAGAUUGUGGGCUGAAACUCGCCCACAUGAAGGCGGAAUUGCUAGUAAUUGCAGAUCAGCAUGCUGCAGUGAAUACGUUCCCGGGCCUU